CAGGUCUCUGAUUCUGUACACACAAACAGUGAAAUAGUCUAAUGUGUCAGGAUCAUCAAAAAGCUUCCUCUCCUUCUUCUCACGGCGCUCAGAUGGCGUGAGUUUGCGGGCGAUGUUGCGGUCGACAUGAGCCUGCUCGCGCUCUGCAGCAGCCGCUCGUAUUUCCAUCUCCAUGCGUGUCGGGUCCUGUGUAGCUUGUGCACCAAGUACUUCCAUAAGGUUACUCAUCUUGAGCUUGGGCUUUGGUGGCUCCAAGAGGCCUUUCCUAAUCAUUUCUUGCCUAUCUUUUUUCGUAGCGAGGCGCCUCUGUGUUCUGUACUUCUUCUGCUCAUUGUUAGUAAGCUUAAGUGGUUGAGGCGGUGGUGUCAUGGGCUUAGCCGGUGGUUCCAAUGGCUCUGGAUGUUGCACGUAGAUGGUGAUCUUAUCCAUAUUAAGCUUUUCCAAGGAGAUGUCCUCGUACGUGGCAGAAAUCAGGAUUUUUGA
rnacentral:rRNA from 1 species